rnacentral:tRNA from 1 species
ACCGAAGUGGUGGAAUAGGUAGACACACUGUCUUGAGGAGGCAGUACUUAAUUUUAAUAAGUAUACGGGUUCAAAUCCCGUCUUCGGUA